rnacentral:rRNA from 1 species
AGUGAACGCUGGCGGUAGGCCUAACACAUGCAAGUCGAACGGCAGCACAGUAAGAGCUUGCUCUUACGGGUGGCGAGUGGCGGACGGGUGAGGAAUACAUCGGAAUCUACUUUUUCGUGGGGGAUAACGUAGGGAAGCUUACGCUAAUACCGCAUACGACCUACGGGUGAAAGCAGGGGAUCUUCGGACCUUGCGCGAUUGAAUGAGCCGAUGUCGGAUUAGCUAGUUGGCGGGGUAAAGGCCCACCAAGGCGACGAUCCGUAGCUGGUCUGAGAGGAUGAUCAGCCACACUGGAACUGAGACACGGUCCAGACUCCUACGGGAGGCAGCAGUGGGGAAUAUUGGACAAUGGGCGCAAGUCUGAUCCAGCCAUACCGCGUGGGUGAAGAAGGCCUUCGGGUUGUAAAGCCCUUUUGUUGGGAAAGAAAAGCAGCAGGUUAAUACCCCGCUGUUCUGACGGUACCCAAAGAAUAAGCACCGGCUAACUUCGUG